AUGAGUUCAAUAUCUUUGUCCCAAAGUAAAUAUUUCAGAAAGGUCCUCCUCUCCUUCAACUUGCCUACCUCUACUAUACCAUUAUCAUUUUAUUGUGAGUCACCGCUUAGUGCCACAUCCAGUUUAAUAUUCUUCUCCCCUUCUAAGCUUCUCUGCUUCUCUAUUCACCAUGAAGCCAAGAUCCCAAAGGAACAACAAUAUAAAGGACUUCAGAGAUCAUCAAGACAAACUGGGGCCCAUUCCUCAUUCAUCUACAGCAUCUGCCAUGGCAUCAAAGAGUAAUGUUUUAAGAAAUCAAGAUGAAAAUAACCAUACUGGAUUCUAGUGUUCCAAGUAUAAAGAUUGAAACAAUCCUAUUUGCAAGGAGCUUUCAUUCUAAUGGGAGCAGACAAUAAUUACAUAUACAAGUAAAUGCAGAAUAAACAUAAAGAGAAUAAAUACCA
rnacentral:lncRNA from 1 species